rnacentral:lncRNA from 1 species
GUAUGCUUGACAUUGUCUAUUGGAAUACAAUACCCCAUUCCUUCAAAAAUUUCACUAAUGUUCCUAGCUAUUUUCUCAUCUCUAUAUGUUUACUAUAGUAUUUAUCAUCUCUAUUAAAUCUAACUACAUAUAUCAUUUUUCCUGAUUAUCUCUCUACUUCUAUUUCAAAUUUUUUAAAGACCUCAAAAUAUUAGCCCUAUCAUAUAAAAGGUACAGAUACAUAUCGUGAAUGAUCAUUAAUAAAUAUGAUGAAAUAUUUUCACCUGUUAGAUAUAAAGAAAAUAUUUGCAUGCAACAAUGUAAAUGAUUUUUAAAGUUUCUUUACUCCUCCUAGCAUCUUUUUUAGAUGUAUAUAUCUGCUUUGCUUUUAUACAGUCAAUACAUAUCACAAAAUGAGUGAAGUUUUAUGAUCCUAAGAUCUUAUUCUUUACUAGCUUUUUUACCCUUUCUUUGGAGAUAUGCCCCAACCUUCAAUGCCAUAACAUAAAAGAGCUUUCAAAAGAACAUAAAAACCAACUCCAAAAUCUAAGAUUAUCCUAUAGCAUUCAAUUAUCUUGAUAAAUUAAUGUAUUGAUUUUAAUAAUG